rnacentral:rRNA from 1 species
UAGAGUUUGAUCAUGGCUCAGAACGUACGCUGGCGGCACGCCUAACACAUGCAAGUCGAACGAAGUAGCAAUACUUAGUGGCAGACGGGUGAGUAACAUGUAGGUAUCUUCCCUUUGGCCUGGAAUAACACGAGGAAACUUGUGCUAAUACCGGAUAAGUCUUUACGGAGAAAGCUUUAUGCACCAUUGGAUGAGCCUGCACUUGAUUAGUUUGUUGGUAGGGUAAUGGCCUACCAAGACUAUGAUCAAUAGCUGAUUUGAGAGGAUGAUCAGCCACAUUGGGACUGAGACACGGCCCAAACUCCUACGGGAGGCAGCAGUGGGGAAUAUUGCACAAUGGAGGAAACUCUGAUGCAGCGAUGCCGCGUGAGUGAAGAAGGCCCUUGGGUUGUAAAGCUCUUUCGUCGGGGAAGAAAAUGACUGUACCCGAAUAAGAAGGUCCGGCUAACUUCGUGCCAGCAGCCGCGGUAAUACGAAGGGACCUAGCGUAGUUCGGAAUUACUGGGCUUAAAGAGUUCGUAGGUGGUUGAAAAAGUUGGUGGUGAAAUCCCAGAGCUUAACUCUGGAACUGCCAUCAAAACUUUUCAGCUAGAGUAUGAUAGAGGAAAGCAGAAUUUCUAGUGUAGAGGUGAAAUUCGUAGAUAUUAGAAAGAAUACCAAUUGCGAAGGCAGCUUUCUGGAUCAUUACUGACACUGA